rnacentral:rRNA from 1 species
AGCGAACGCUGGCGGCAGGCCUAACACAUGCAAGUCGAACGAAGUCUUCGGACUUAGUGGCGGACGGGUGAGUAACACGUGGGAACGUACCUUUUGGUUCGGAACAACUCAGGGAAACUUGAGCUAAUACCGAAUGAGCCCUUAGGGGGAAAGAUUUAUCGCCGAAAGAGCGGCCCGCGUUAGAUUAGCUAGUUGGUGAGGUAAAGGCUCACCAAGGCUACGAUCUAUAGUUGGUCUGAGAGGAUGAUCAGCCACACUGGGACUGAGACACGGCCCAGACUCCUACGGGAGGCAGCAGUGGGGAAUCUUGCGCAAUGGGCGAAAGCCUGACGCAGCCAUGCCGCGUGAAUGAUGAAGGUCUUAGGAUUGUAAAAUUCUUUUACCAGGGACGAUAAUGACGGUACCUGGAGAAAAAGCCCCGGCUAACUUCGUGCCAGCCGCCGCAGUAAUAC